rnacentral:rRNA from 1 species
GACGAACGCUGGCGGCGUGCUUAACACAUGCAAGUCGAACGAUGAAGCGGUGCUUGCACCGUGGAUUAGUGGCGAACGGGUGAGUAAUACGUGAGUGACCUACCUUUGACUCUGGGAUAAGCCUGGGAAACUGGGUCUAAUACCGGAUACGACCAAUCUCUGCAUGGGGUGUUGGUGGAAAGCGUUAUGGAGUGGUUUUAGAUGGGCUCACGGCCUAUCAGCUUGUUGGUGAGGUAAUGGCUUACCAAGGCGACGACGGGUAGCCGGCCUGAGAGGGUGACCGGCCACACUGGGACUGAGACACGGCCCAGACUCCUACGGGAGGCAGCAGUGGGGAAUAUUGCACAAUGGGCGCAAGCCUGAUGCAGCGACGCCGCGUGAGGGAUGACGGCCUUCGGGUUGUAAACCUCUGUUAGCAUCGAAGAAGCGAAAGUGACGGUAGGUGCAGAGAAAGCGCCGGCUAACUACGUGCCAGCAGCCGCGGUAAUACGUAGGGCGCGAGCGUUGUCCGGAAUUAUUGGGCGUAAAGAGCUUGUAGGCGGUUGGUCGCGUCUGCUGUGAAGGCCGGGGCUUAACUCCGGUUUUGCAGUGGGUACGGGCUAACUAGAGUGCAGUAGGGGAGACUGGAAUUCCUGGUGUAGCGGUGGAAUGCACAGAUAUCAGGAGGAACACCGAUGGCGAAGGCAGGUCUCUGGGCUGUAACUGACGCUGAGAAGCGAAAGCAUGGGGAGCGAACAGGAUUAGAUACCCUGGUAGUCCAUGCCGUAAACGUUGGGCACUAGGUGUGGGGGACAUUCCACGUUUUCCGCGCCGUAGCUAACGCAUUAAGUGCCCCGCCUGGGGAGUACGGCCGCAAGGCUAAAACUCAAAGGAAUUGGCGGGGGCCCGCACAAGCGGCGGAGCAUGCGGAUUAAUUCGAUGCAACGCGAAGAACCUUACCAAGGCUUGACAUGCAUUAGAUCGCGUCAGAGAUGGCGUUUCCCUUCGGGGCUGGUGUACAGGUGGUGCAUGGUUGUCGUCAGCUCGUGUCGUGAGAUGUUGGGUUAAGUCCCGCAACGAGCGCAACCCUCGUUCUAUGUUGCCAGCGGUUCGGCCGGGGACUCAUAGGAGACUGCCGGGGUUAACUCGGAGGAAGGUGGGGAUGACGUCAAAUCAUCAUGCCCCUUAUGUCUUGGGCUUCACGCAUGCUACAAUGGCCGGUACAGAGGGUUGCGAUACUGUGAGGUGGAGCUAAUCCCUUAAAGCCGGUCUCAGUUCGGAUUGGGGUCUGCAACUCGACCCCAUGAAGUCGGAGUCGCUAGUAAUCGCAGAUCAGCAACGCUGCGGUGAAUACGUUCCCGGGCCU